CGCACCGGCUCCACCUGGCUCACCUGAGGGACGGCUAGUGUCUGAGCGGGGGAGGCAAGCCCUGCGCGAGGAGCCCUGUCUGAGCGGUGCCUUGCUUGCCCCACCCUCAUCCCAGAGGCCCUGGAAGAUGAGGCACCACAUGGAGAGAGAGACCACAUACAGGAGAAUGGAGGUGCCCCUGCUGAGCUGGCUGAACGGGGCACGUGAGUGAUCCAGGUGGCAUGAUGUGAAGCAGAGUUACCUAGGCCACCCACAGAAUGGUAAGGAAGAAUAAAACCAUUGUGUUUGAGGCCACUCGGCUUGGGAUGGUACAGCAGUAGAUAACCAAGUCACCUUUAUGUACAAAUCCACCGCCCCCAAACUCAGGUGUAACUCAAAGGAGGGACUUCCCUGGUGAUCCAGUGGUUAAGACUCUGUGCUCCCAAUGCAGGGGGCCGGGGUUUGAUACCUAGUCAGGGAACUAAGAUCCUACAUACCGCAACUAAGCCUGCACUGCAACUGGAGAAGCCCCCACACCGCAACUGGAGAAGCCCCCGCACCGCAAUGAAGACCCAGCACAGCCAAAAUAAAUAAAUAAAUAAAUAAAAUAAUUUUU